GGUAAUGUACCUCAGUGGUAGAGCAUGUGCUUAGCAUGUACAAUGCCUUGGGGUUCAAUCCUCACAAAAUCA
rnacentral:tRNA from 1 species